rnacentral:rRNA from 1 species
UACGUAGGGGGCAAGCGUUGUCCGGAUUUAUUGGGCGUAAAGAGCGUGUAGGCGGUUUGGUAGGUCCGCUGUGAAAACUCGAGGCUCAACCUCGAGACGCCGGUGGAAACCAUCAGACUAGAGUCCGGAAGAGGAGAGUGGAAUUCCUGGUGUAGCGGUGAAAUGCGCAGAUAUCAGGAGGAACACCCGUGGCGAAAGCGGCUCUCUGGGACGGUACUGACGCUGAGGCGCGAAAGCGUGGGGAGCAAGCAGG